rnacentral:tRNA from 1 species
AUUUAAGUAGUUUAUUAAAAAUUUUAAUUUGUGGGAUUAAAGAAAUGGUACUUAAACCCAUCUUAAAUA